CGUGUGGGGAGGGUGCAAAGGAGCAAGACUGAUACCAGAAGUGGGAAAGAAGAAAGAAGUCUUGUCACUUUUAUAAAGAAUAACUUGCAAUGCAAAAAAAAAAAAAAUUGUCAUCAACAUUGAGUGGGAAAAAAUAAGGCAGACAGAUGGGCUGAGAGCAGAACCAAUGCAAGGGAGCUAAAUACAUUCUCUUUACUCCACUCUGACAGGGCCUAGGGAGUAUCUGUGUGCCAUGUUUCCACACAUGCCUUUAUGCAUGCUGUCCUCUUCUGCGAGAGGGUCGUUCAAGCCACCUGCAAGGUUUCAUUUGUGGCGUUAUAGAAGCCUUCUUAUAGCAAGGCAUGGCUUUUGAAUCACUCACUAGCUUUGGCGCUCUUCUCCAUAAAACAAGACUAACAAUAGCAGCCACCCCUCGGCAGAAGCUGGGAAGCUGAAACAGUAAGUAGCCUGCGUGCACAGGGCCAACAUUACCGAGCAGAACUCAAGCAAGACAAAGCAGGGCAGGCAACUUGCAGCUCGGGGAACACUUCUAACCUCCGUCUGGUCUGGUCUACGGGAUUGCUGGGCCUGUGCUCUUUCACUGGAUCUCUAGAGUCCUAUUCCCAGGGGCCGGGGUGGAGGUGGCGGUGCCGCAGAAAGGUGCAUCUCUCCCUGCUCACCACAGCCCGUUAUUACACAAGAGCAGUUGGACCACAGUUCCCCCGAGAGUGGCAGGGGUGUGUGGGAAGGGGUACAGUGAGAGAGGGUGGAGAGGCCUCCCAGAGCAACUGCCAUGAGAGUGUGGGGAAGGAACUCCUGGGAGAACUUUUCUUUUUAAAACGACAGUACUGAUGUACGGGACGGAAAUGCUCCUCUUUGAAAGGAAAUAAAAACAGUUUGCUGACCAUGUUUUGUCCUGCUCCUGCUUUUGGCUGGCUGGCUUUGCAGUUAUUAAUGCUGUCACUUGUAACCUACCUACCGGAGUUAGCUCUGCCACCCGCUGUUGUUAUCUCCCCCAAUCUCUUGGCUGCCUUAGGAAAUGCAAACUAACUUUAAUAUUGGUUUAAGCAAAAAUAGAGCAGGAUUAACUGGCUGCUGAGAAGAAACAGAAAACAGGAGCUCAGACAAAUGAGGAACUCAGAGGGAAUUCUGGGCCGUUUCUAUCCACCCAGCAGGACUUUAUCCAGGCGCCCAUCCUCUGCAGAGCAGUUACUGGCCACUUUGCUGGGGUCCUUUAUCGCAUGUGUCUGUCACGGAUUUCGGAGCUAGAAUAGCAUCCUGGCUCAUCCACUUGGACUAAAAAGGCACUAUAGUACUUUCAUUCUUGUCCUCUACUUUGAGGUAUAAACAAGCAGAAUAACACCCCCCUCCCAAAAAAAAUCCUCACAAAACAAAAUUUAAAAACAAUGAGGCAAAGUGAGGGGGAACAAUUUUCUUACUUCCUUCCUUCACAAUUGUUAUGUCUUUAUCAUUAUUCCUCUCAGUAGCCAUCAAGGAAAAUAUUGAAAAUGAACACUUUAUCUAUUCCUUGACAGCCAUUUUCAGAACCGUUAAAUCAUCAUUAGAGUAACCUGAUGGGUCUGUCAGUCAUACCGCUAAAUGAGGAGAUACUUCAGCACCUGGAGAGACAGCUGGAGGAGUCUGGUGCAGCCUAGGGACAUGGAAGUCCAGAAAAGGCUUUGUAUCUUUCUGUUCAUUUGAUUUAAGCAACAGGUCUGUUAGAGUUUUCCAGCUCAGUAGAGUGCAUCUACCACAUUCAAGUCAAACACCCAACUACACCUGUGAUUCAGCCUGGCUUUUGCCCUCUGAAAUCUUGUGACAAGCCUUAUCUCUCAUCUCCAGUUGGAAUCAUAGAGCUGUUGCAAAGACUCAGGAUGGUGCCGAGCAGUCAGUCAUGCACACAGCCUGAGAUCAGUUCCCAAAGAGCUCUUUAAAGCAUGUUGAGCUUCUAACAAAGGCUCAGAGCAGUACAACAGGUCUGAGGAUCCUUAAAGCAGUCUUUGUUAUUUUGACAAUAAGCCACGUUCUUUACUCCAGAAGGUUGCAUGAGAAUUGUUACCAGUGAUCUCCUCUAUUGUUCAUGUCUACAUAUGUUCAUAUAUACAUCAUACUAAUGUGAACAGUGUAUAUUUCUGUUGGUCCUGGCAGGUUGUGUUUUAUUUUGCCUGUAGUUCCUGGGAAUCAUAAAAGGAAAAUACUAUAGAUCUACAGAAUAGCAAGCAAACAAAAUGACAGUGCAAAUAUGUAUAAACAGUGCACUCAAUCAAAUACUUACUGAACUCUUGUUUCAUUCCAGGCCAUCUUCUAAGAGCUGCCAAGGAGCUCACUGAACGAAUAAGCCGUGGUGCCUGUGUUUUCACAAAAUUGUUAAGAAAACAAAGCACAGUGAGGGAACAUUAAGUAUUGAGACUGUUUACGCGAAGUAACGCAGAGGAAAUUAUAUAUUGGGACUGCUUUUCAACAACAUUCUGCAAGUGAUUAUAAGCAUAAGGACCGAGCAGUGUGAAAAGAGCCUUUGAUUGUUUUCAACCCAGUGGAGAAUGUAUCUUAGUAAACAUCAACAUCUCAGCUACUCACUUCCAUAGUAACCAAACAGUCUAGGGAAGUGGUAACAUUAAUACUUAUCAGGACAAUUAAAAUAAUGAUAGCAUAUGCUGAGAUGGACUAUAAUUUAGGCAAAGGUAAUGUGAUUUUGCUGGUAUUAUCUCAUUUAAGCCUCAUAAUAACACUCCAAGUUAACAAGUAUUACUAAGGGCUCAGAGACAGUAGACAACAUUCUGUCCUGUAAGUGGCAAGAACUAUUUGGCCACAGCUCAUGCUUCAUAGCCACUAGGUGACAUGUCAAUAUGGGAGUAUGCCUCAUCCUUGUACUUAUUUUUGAAAGCAAAGAAUGCAGAAAAUCUGAGUUGAAUUAUGUGGAGGGAACAGGUUGGUGGGAUAUAGGGAAUCAGAGUAAAUUCUCCUAUGUACAUUCUACCAACAUGUGUAAUGGGGCAAGGAAUAUUUGUAGGCAUGUGUUUACAUACAGAUUGCUAGGAAGUCAACUUUUUGUUCAAAUGACACUUUGGAAUAGAGGUCUAGUGCAUGUUAUAUACAGUAGAUGAAGAAAGAAUCACAAAGAUUGUUAUUCCUUACCUUUGUAAAGAGAAUGUAUGUAGAUGUAGUAUACAUUUUAAACAUUAACUCACAAAUUCAAUAAAAAGUUCAGAAAAAUUAAA